rnacentral:rRNA from 2 species
ACAACUCUGAGCGGUGGAUCACUUGGUCUGUGGAUGCUA